rnacentral:rRNA from 1 species
GUGAGGAAUAUUGGUCAAUGGGCGGGAGCCUGAACCAGCCAAGUCGCGUGAAGGAAGAAGGAUCUAUGGUUCGUAAACUUCUUUUGCAGGGGAAUAAAGUGCAGGACGUGUCCUGUUUUGUAUGUACCCUGAGAAUAAGGAUCGGCUAACUCCGUGCCAGCAGCCGCGGUAAUACGGAGGAUCCGAGCGUUAUCCGGAUUUAUUGGGUUUAAAGGGUGCGUAGGUGGUUUGAUAAGUCAGCGGUGAAAGUUUGCAGCUUAACUGUAAAAAUGCCGUUGAAACUGUCGGACUUGAGUGUAAAUGAGGUAGGCGGAAUGCGUGGUGUAGCUGUGAAAUGCAUAGAUAUCACGCAGAACUCCGAUUGCGAAGGCAGCUUACUAAGCUACAACUGACACUGAAGCACGAAAGCGUGGGGAUCAAACAGGAUUAGAAACCCGUGUAGUCC